rnacentral:tmRNA from 1 species
GGGGGCGAACAGGAUUCGACGGUAGUCAGCGGACCGUGUUCUGCGCGCCGAGUUCCGGGAACUCGUAAAUAACCCGGAACCGCAAUAAGUGCGGACUAUGAUUAUGCACUGGCUGCCUAAAUAAGGUGGUCACGUCCACCGGAUGGUGUAGCUUCGAGCCGUCCGAAUGGGCGCCGCAACUCGAGGCGGCAAUGGUGAGGGUUCUCAGGCCGACCCGUUGCGCUAAUUAUCUGAGAUAGUCCGGGGAAAGCUAUGUAUGGCGGCGUUAACCGGGCGAAAAUAAAGGCUAUACUACGCGCGUAGACGGAUGCGGGGAGCGGUUAUCGGACCCGGGUUCGAUUCCCGGCGCCUCCAAAA